ensembl:lncRNA
CCGUUCAUGCUUCAUGUUUUAUCUGUAAUAUGAAGAAAAACCUCGACUUUGAUCCCCCGGCGCACGUUAUAAGCUCACAAAUGUGGCGUUUCAGAUGCUAAUUCCCUAUUGCGUGAGGGCUUAUUAGGUAGCGCGUGAACGCAACAUGUGCUUCCCGUGUGGACAAUGACUUUAUCUUACAUGAUAAAAAUAAAUGGCCAGCUUCUAAAGAGGAAAUCACUGUACUUUUCUAUAAAUAAAGGAUGUGCUGUUACUCGUGUCCAAGUUUAAUGUUCAGCAUCUCAAUACAAUCACAAGAAAACGGAUGGAGCCGUGCAUGUUUUUUCCGCUGCACGUGGUUGCUUUGAGCGCCGUCCUGGCAGGCAGAGAAUAUCUAACAAGCCAAAUAGCCUCGCGCUUUAGGUACUCGGCUGCUGUCUGUUGCUAUGCAACCGCAUCCUCCAAAUCGCCAGGUUCAGGGCCACAUUCCCCUCCCCAUCCUCCCCCUUUCCUGAAGAAACAAAUUGCAGAGGGGAAGGUACUUUGUGCACCAACCGAGGCGUGCGGGAAUCUCUCAUUUGAAUAAAUCCCCGAUAUUUCAACGUCGGAGUUCUCCUGCCGAGUGAAAACCUCCCGGCGCCGGUUGUUUCUUUACCAGCUCACCUUUGUUCCUUUACGCUCUGCAUUCGCUCCUUCCAGCAUCGCGUCCUCCCCUCUAGUUCUCCCCCUUUUCCUGCUGUGUUGUUUUCAUCAAGAAUCCAAGAGUCUGCUUUGCUCGUCUUUGUUUGUCUCUCUCACACACACACACACACACACUCUUUCUACCCGUGUACAUACUGUAUGUCUGUGAGGCAGACUGUCUCUAUAAUUGGGUUAUUCUUCUCCUCACCGGUCUGAUGCACUGAGACACACACGCACGUGCACACACACACACACACACACACACAUGACCAAAGUCUGUGCACACACACACACACACACUCUCUGAGAGGCGGCUAGCGCAUGCCAAAACAGUGGACCAUGUCAAAUUAAAAGAGAAGUUUGCGCGCCCUCUGCCCAUCUUCUUUAGCGCACACACACACGCACACACACACACACACACACACAUUUUGGGCAGCUGCCAAAAAGCCCUGGAGCUGGCAGUUUUUGCCUGGUCUUAUUUUCCACCCUCUCCCCACACCCACACAGACGCACACCCAGACACCCACACGAGCACACAGACACACAGACACACACACCCAGACAGGGUCGUUGGCGUAUGAAGUUGUUUUGGUCGGUUUUGGGGGAUCGGGAUUGGUUGCUGUGUUGCUAGCCCCGAAAAAAGAAAAGAAAAAAAGAAAGUCCUUUCUCCUGCAGUAACAGCUCCACCUCGCCCCCCCGCAGACCACCCCGCCUGCCAAUCCGCUCCCUGAUUGGCUGAUUGGGUUCCUCACUCUUUCCUCUCUCUGCCUCUACCUUCUCUCUCUCUCACACACACACACACACACACACACACACACACACACACACACACACACACACACACACACCGGCUGGUGCAGUGUUGACACAUGCUGGCACAAUCAAACUUGAUUGGCACCCAGAUAAUAAGAAAGCAGAGGAGACGAGCUGUGAAUACAGAUAACAGCAUUGUUUAUCAAAACUUGCACACACACACACACACACCACGGUGAAAUAUACAAAUGUAGGGUGUGUUUUUCUUUCAGAUCCUCACAAUAAGGUAGAACUUUAAAACUGAAAUCAUAGCAUAUUAUUAUAUAACAGAUUUCACAAUGAGUAAUACGGAGGGCCAAUGCUAAAUCUAAGUAGCAUUUGAAACAAUGUGGAGAGAAUACAUCGACAUCCUUUGCUGACUAUGUAGUUCGAACGGUCACAUCUGGAGUUUACAUUCUGCGUUCUCACACCAGCUCGCACCGUUUAAUCAUCUGAAACCUUUGUGGGGCUGAGGACCAGCACGCGGUUGGGGCAGAACUAACGGGUAGAAUUGGUGUUUAGCUUUUCUUCUUCACGUCACUGCCGUGCACCUGCCGGACGCGUCGCAGUGAAUCAGCGAUUUGCACACGCAGUGAUGGACGCGGAAAGGAGCCAAGAGAGUCAAUUAGUUCUCUAUUCGUCUAUAAAAGUUUAGAGGGACUCAAUCAUCUCAUUCUGUGAUACUGAAUAAUAUGGAGUUAAUAAAAGCACAUCACAGUAAGAAAGUCUGUAUGCACCAAAAAGAUGUGUAAAUUGUUGAUAUAUAUAUAUAUAUAUAUAUAUAUAUAUAUAUAUAUCUCCUAUUCCUGCUGCCAAACCAGCCUGUUAAGAUGCAAAAGCAUUUGACAGAUGGUGACAUGUUAUAUUCAACGCCGUGUGACAAAAACACAAAACUGACGACUUGAGAAAUACUCAAAUAACCAAUUAAAUCAGUGAAACCGUUUCAGACCUUUUCCCCCAACAGGCACAUUUCUUAUAAUAUCGUUUGGAUGAUUCAUUUUCCACAACUUUUGAUUGGUAGAAAUAGUCAUCGGAUCGGCUCCUUUUGUUCUGUUAAAGUAAAUAUUAGUUAAAGCAGGAAUGAGUUGUGUUAUUUGUGUGGUUUGCGACUGAUAUCAAUGGUUGCCUUGGCGACAUGAGAAGAUGCAUCACCUUGUCACAUAUCUUCUCUUGUUUUUAUCUUAAGAACAGAUUGACAGAUGGUGACAUGUCACACCAGACAUGAAAAAAAUGAAUAGAGACGAAACUCUUAAAAACUGCAGCGGGUUUAUUUGGGCUCCCAGAUUAC